UGCGUAGGCGGACUAAUAAGUCAGUGGUGAAAUCUUUCGGCUCAACCGAGAAACUGCCAUUGAUACUGUUAGUCUUGAGUUCGGUUGAGGUAGGCGGAAUGUGUAAUAUAGCGGUGAAAUGCUUAGAUAUUACACAGAACACCAAUUGCGUAGGCAGCUUACUAGACCGACACUGACGCUGAGGCACGAAAGCGUGGGGAGCGAACAGGAUUAGAUACCCUGGUAGUCC
rnacentral:rRNA from 1 species